UACGUAGGGUGCAAGCGUUGUCCGGAAUUAUUGGGCGUAAAGAGCUUGUAGGCGGUUUGUCGCGUCGGGAGUGAAAAGCUGGGGCUUAACCCCAGUCCUGCUUCCGAUACGGGUGGACUAGAGGUAGGUAGGGGAGAACGGAAUUCCUGGUGUAGCGGUGAAAUGCGCAGAUAUCAGGAGGAACACCGAUGGCGAAGGCAGCACUCUGGGACGUGACUGACGCUGAGACGCGAAAGCGUGGGGAGCAAACAGG
rnacentral:rRNA from 1 species